rnacentral:rRNA from 1 species
UACGUAGGGUGCAAGCGUUGUCCGGAAUCAUUGGGCGUAAAGAGCGUGUAGGCGGUCCGGUAAGUCGGCUGUGAAAGUCCAGGGCUCAACCCUGGGAUGCCGGUCGAUACUGCCGGACUAGAGUUCGGAAGAGGCGAGUGGAAUUCCCGGUGUAGCGGUGAAAUGCGCAGAUAUCGGGAGGAACACCUAUGGCGAAGGCAGCUCGCUGGGACGUUACUGACGCUGGAGACGCGAAAGCGUGGGGAGCAA